CCUGCUUGUCUUGGCUUUCCAGCAGGCAGAAGUCCAGGGACAUGCGGCCGGAAGAACCGGAUUUCAGCCCGGCUGAGUCACCCCAGCAGCCACCUUGUGAUGGAUGUAGCCCGCAGCGGGGAUCCAGCCGCCUCGAAACAGGGUUUACUUUGACCCAAAUCCCCUGUUGGCCUGCUUUGAGGACGAGGUGA
rnacentral:lncRNA from 1 species